AGCUUGCUCCUGGGUGACGAGCGGCGGACGGGUGAGUAAUGUCUGGGAAACUGCCUGAUGGAGGGGGAUAACUACUGGAAACGGUAGCUAAUACCGCAUAACGUCUACGGACCAAAGUGGGGGACCUUCGGGCCUCAUGCCAUCAGAUGUGCCCAGAUGGGAUUAGCUAGUAGGUGGGGUAAUGGCUCACCUAGGCGACGAUCCCUAGCUGGUCUGAGAGGAUGACCAGCCACACUGGAACUGAGACACGGUCCAGACUCCUACGGGAGGCAGCAGUGGGGAAUAUUGCACAAUGGGCGCAAGCCUGAUGCAGCCAUGCCGCGUGUGUGAAGAAGGCCUUCGGGUUGUAAAGCACUUUCAGCGAGGAGGAAGGGGUGUUAAUAGCACCAUUGACGUUACUCGCAGAAGAAGCACCGGCUAACUCCGUGCCAGCAGCCGCGGUAAUACGGAGGGUGCAAGCGUUAAUCGGAAUUACUGGGCGUAAAGCGCACGCAGGCGGUUUGUUAAGUCAGAUGUGAAAUCCCCGCGCUUAACGUGGGAACUGCAUUUGAAACUGG
rnacentral:rRNA from 1 species